rnacentral:tRNA from 1 species
GGAGUGUAGCUGAGUGGGUCAAGCAUGUGCCUGGUGUGCACGAAGCUCAGGGUUUGAUCCCUGGCUCUCCA